rnacentral:lncRNA from 1 species
AAGAUUCGGAGGCAUUCGAAGAUGGGGAGCAUUUGAAGAUUGAGAGCAUUUCAGAGAUCAAGAAGAAUAGAAGAGUUCUGAAGUGAAGCAACAACGAAGUUCGUGAUCAAGCAGCAACGAAGUUCGUGAUCAAGUAACAACGAAGUUCGUGAUCAAGCAGCAACGAAGUUCGUGAUCAAGAUAUCAAGCGAAGUUCGUGAUCAAGAUUAAGUCGUGAAGACCCUUGAAGCGAGGAUCAAGUGUUCGUGACCAAGACUAAGUCGUGAAGACCUUUGACGCAAAGAUCAAGCACGUUCGUGAUCAUGACUAAGUCAUCGUGAAGACCCUUGACGUGAAGAUCAAGCACAUUCGUGACCUUUGACGCGAAGAUCAAGCACGUUCGUGAUCAAGACUAAGUCGUGAAGACCCUUGACGCGAAGAUCAUGUACGUUCGUGAUCAAGACUAAGUCGUGAAGACCCUUGAAGCGAAGAUCAACCAAGUUCGUGAUCAAGACUAAGUCCAAGUUCGUGACUCUUGAAGACGAAUUGAAGAAAUUAAUCAGAGGAAUUUCCAGAGAUCAUCACUCACUUCAUCAAAUAUUUGUAUUUGUCUCAUAAUUUUCAAGUCAAGAAAUUUUGACGAGAAAUUUGUGUGUACAUACAUACUUGAGAUUAUUGAUGAGUUGUGCCUCUCAUUUG